rnacentral:rRNA from 1 species
GUAGAGGGCCAUGCCAACCUGAGUAUGCCCAAUCUCAUCUGAUCUCGGAAGCUAAGCACGGUCAGGCCUGGUUAGUACUUGGAUGGGAGAUCACCUUGGAAUAUCAGGUGCUGUAGGCA